rnacentral:rRNA from 1 species
CAGCAGCCGCGGGAACACGAAGGGUGCAAGCGUUAAUCGGAAUUACUGGGCGUAAAGCGUGCGUAGGUGGUGGUUUAAGUCCGUUGUGAAAGCCCUGGGCUCAACCUGGGAAUUGCAGUGGAUACUGGGUCACUAGAGUGUGGUAGAGGAUAGUGGAAUUUCCGGUGUAGCAGUGAAAUGCGUAGAGAUCGGAAGGAACAUCUGUGGCGAAGGCGACUAUCUGGGCCAACACUGACACUGAGGCACGAAAGCGUGGGGAGCAAACAGGAUUAGAUACCCGGGUAGUCCCUGUCUCUAUACA